rnacentral:lncRNA from 1 species
ACGCCGCAUAAAUAAAAUUUGACAAAAAAGUUACUCGCGACAUGAUAUAACUGGAAAGUUUUUGUCGAUUUGGUACGCGUCAUUGUUUUAGGGGUUCCAUACCACUGAAUCGGUAAAAUGAACAAAAUUAACUCAUUAUAGCCUCAAACUUUGCAGCUACCAUGAUGUAUACAUGCAUCUUAUCGUAUUUUAUCAUUCAAGGUCCCCAUCGUCCACCCUUCCUCCCCCUUUAUUUUGUUCGUUCUUUUUUGAGGAAUCCCAUUUUGCAUUGAAGUUCAAUCCUGUUACAUUUUACUGUAAAAAUGCAAUCCUUCUUACAAACAAACUUUUUAAAUAGAAAUUCAUCCCCUG